UUGACAGUUAAAGCAAUCUAGGACAACUAUAAAAAUCUUGUCUUUACAACCAUAGACAGUCACAUACAUCAGAACAGUUGGUUCCUGCCAACAGAGUCUGUAUAGUUAUCAGAUUUUCUAUGCGAUGGCUCCAUACAUU